CCUACGGGAGGCAGCAGUGGGGAAUAUUGGACAAUGGGCGAAAGCCUGAUCCAGCAAUGCCGCGUGAGUGAUGAAGGCCUUAGGGUUGUAAAGCUCUUUUACCCGGGAUGAUAAUGACAGUACCGGGAGAAUAAGCUCCGGCUAACUCCGUGCCAGCAGCCGCGGUAAUACGGAGGGAGCUAGCGUUGUUCGGAAUUACUGGGCGUAAAGCGUACGUAGGCGGCUAUUCAAGUCAGAGGUGAAAGCCCGGGGCUCAACCCCGGAACUGCCUUUGAAACUAGGUAGCUAGAGUCUUGGAGAGGUUAGUGGAAUUCCGAGUGUAGAGGUGAAAUUCGUAGAUAUUCGGAAGAACACCAGUGGCGAAGGCGACUAACUGGACAAGUACUGACGCUGAGGUACGAAAGCGUGGGGAGCAAACAGGAUUAGAUACCCUGGUAGUCCACGCCGUAAACGAUGAUAACUAGCUGUCCGGGCACUUGGUGCUUGGGUGGCGCAGCUAACGCAUUAAGUUAUCCGCCUGGGGAGUACGGUCGCAAGAUUAAAACUCAAAGGAAUUGACGG
rnacentral:rRNA from 1 species